GGGGUUGUGGCUCAGUGGUAGAGCAUUUGCCUAGCAUGUAUGAGGCACUGGGUUCAAUCCUCAGCACCA
rfam:Ictidomys tridecemlineatus contig096609, whole genome shotgun sequence.